UCCGGCACUUUCCCUCUUUAUCGGCACCAGAUCCGGCCUGAUCUCGGAUGCUAAGCAGGGUCAGUCCUGGUUCGGACUCGGGUGGAAGGCCUCAAACCAAUACCAGGUGCUGUCCGCU
rnacentral:rRNA from 11 species